UACGUAGGGGGCAAGCGUUGUCCGGAUUUAUUGGGCGUAAAGAGCGUGUAGGCGGUUUGGUAGGUCCGUUGUGAAAACUCGAGGCUCAACCUCGAGACGCCGAUGGAAACCAUCAGACUAGAGUCCGGAAGAGGAGAGCGGAAUUCCUGGUGUAGCGGUGAAAUGCGCAGAUAUCAGGAGGAACACCAAUUGCGAAGGCAGCUCGCUGGGACGUUACUGACGCUGAGACGCGAAAGCGUGGGGAGCGAACAGG
rnacentral:rRNA from 1 species